rnacentral:rRNA from 1 species
AUACGGAGGAUCCGAGCGUUAUCCGGAUUUAUUGGGUUUAAAGGGUGCGCAGGCGGGAGAUUAAGUCGGCGGUGAAAUUUUGCAGCUCAACUGUAAAAGUGCCUUCGAAACUGGUUUCCUUGAGUGUAGAUGAAGUAGGCGGAAUUUGUGGUGUAGCGGUGAAAUGCAUAGAUAUCACGAGGAACUCCGAUUGCGCAGGCAGCUUACUAAACUACUACUGACGCUCAGGCACGAAGGCGUGGGGAUCAAACAGGAUUAGAUACCCUGGUAGUCCACGCAGUAAACGAUGAUUACUCGCUGUUUGCGAUACACAGUAAGCGGCUUAGCGAAAGCGUUAAGUAAUCCACCUGGGGAGUACGUUCGCAAGAAUGAAACUCAAAUGAAUUGGCGGGG